rnacentral:rRNA from 1 species
UGGGGAAUAUUGGACAAUGGGCGAAAGCCUGAUCCAGCCAUGCCGCGUGAGUGAUGAAGGCUUUAGGGUUGUAAAGCUCUUUCAGUGGGGAAGAUAAUGACGGUACCCACAGAAGAAGCCCCGGCUAACUUCGUGCCAGCAGCCGCGGUAAUACGAAGGGGGCUAGCGUUGUUCGGAAUUACUGGGCGUAUAGCGCGCGUAGGCGGAUUGAUCAGUCAGGGGUGAAAUCCCGGGGCUCAACCCCGGAACUGCCUUUGAUACUGUCAAUCUAGAGAUCGAGAGAGGUGAGUGGAAGUCCGAGUGUAGAGGUGAAAUUCGUAGAUAUUCGGAGGAACACCAGUGGCGAAGGCGGCUCACUGGCUCGGUACUGACGCUGAGGCGCGAAAGCGUGGGGAGCAAACAGGAUUAGAUACCCCCGUAGUCC